UGUAGUCAUAUGCUUGUCUCAAAGAUUAAGCCAUGCAUGUCUAAGUAUAAGCAAUCUAUACUGUGAAACUGCGAAUGGCUCAUUAAAUCAGUUAUCGUUUAUUUGAUAGUACCUUACUACUUGGAUAACCGUGGUAAUUCUAGAGCUAAUACAUGCUAAAAACCCCGACUUUUGGAGGGGUGUAUUUAUUAGAUAAAAAACCAAUGCCCUUCGGGGCUCCUUGGUGAUUCAUAAUAACUUAACGAAUCGCAUGGCCUUGUGCCGGCGAUGGUUCAUUCAAAUUUCUGCCCUAUCAACUUUCGAUGGUUAGGUCUUGGCUAACCAUGGUUUCAACGGGUAACGGGGAAUUAGGGUUCUAUUCCGGAGAGGGAGCCUGAGAAACGGCUACCACAUCCAAGGAAGGCAGCAGGCGCGCAAAUUACCCAAUCCCGACACGGGGAGGUAGUGACAAUAAAUACUGAUACAGGGCUCUUUUGGGUCUUGUAAUUGGAAUGAGUACAAUUUAAACCUCUUAACGAGGAACAAUUGGAGGGCAAGUCUGGUAAUCG
rnacentral:rRNA from 1 species